rnacentral:misc_RNA from 1 species
GUGGGUAGGAGGCCCUGCAGUGUUCUGAAAAGUGAUACCGCUGGCCAUGAAUCCAUCACCAAGAACACCAACUGUGGGUGAAGUAUAAGUGGUCACUCCUCCUUUACCGGAAACCAACGAUCCUGUAAUUACCGUUUUGCCUAUCCCAUCUCCUAAAAAGACAACAUUCUUCUUCGUUAACGGAAUCCUAACAGUUUCCUCGUAAACGCCUGCCGUUAUAUGCACCACAAACUUUUUGC